AUUGAACGCUGGCGGCAUGCUUUACACAUGCAAGUCGAACGGCAGCGCGGGCUUCGGCCUGGCGGCGAGUGGAGAACGGGUGAGUAAUGCAUCGGAACGUGCCCAGUAGUGGGGGAUAGCCCGGCGAAAGCCGGAUUAAUACCGCAUACGACCUGAGGGUGAAAGCGGGGGACCGAAAGGCCUCGCGCUAUUGGAGCGGCCGAUGUCGGAUUAGCUAGUUGGUGGGGUAAAGGCUUACCAAGGGGACGAUCCGUAGCUGGUCUGAGAGGACGACCAGCCACACUGGGACUGAGACACGGCCCAGACUCCUACGGGAGGCAGCAGUGGGGAAUUUUGGACAAUGGGGGCAACCCUGAUCCAGCCAUGCCGCGUGCGGGAAGAAGGCCUUCGGGUUGUAAACCGCUUUUGUUCGGGAAGAAAUCCUCUGGGCUAAUACCCCGGGGGGAUGACGGUACCGGAAGAAUAAGCACCGGCUAACUACGUG
rnacentral:rRNA from 1 species